GACGAACGCUGGCGGCGUGCCUAAUACAUGCAAGUAGGACGCAGUUGCGAACGGGUGAGUAACGCGUAGGUAACUACCUAUUAGAGGGGGAUAACUAUUGGAAACGAUAGCUAAUACCGCAUACUAGUAGAUGGACCUGCGGUGUAUUAGGUAGUAGGUAGGGUAAUGGGCUACCUAGGCAACGAUACAUAGCCGAACUGAGGGGGUGGUCGGGCACACGGGGAAUGAGGAACGGCCCAGAAUCCUGAGGGGGGCAACAGUAGGGAAUUGUCGGGAAUUGGAGGAAACCUGACCGAGCAACGCCGCGGGAGUGAAGAAGGUUUUCGGAUCGUAAAGCUCUGUUGUUAAGGAAGCGGUACUUAACCAGAAAGGGACGGCUAACUACGUGCUAGCAGCCGCGGUAAUUC
rnacentral:rRNA from 1 species